rnacentral:lncRNA from 1 species
GUGCUGCUGACCUCUGAGCCCAAGUAAGACUAGAACAAUUUCCCAGGCCACUCCUGACCUCACUGCAUACAGGUAAAGCUCCAGAUCCUUAUGAAUGGCUGGGAAUUCACUCAUUCUGCUGGAGCAGGAAGGCUUUAAAAAUACAAAAACCUCAGUGAAGCAUCAGACACACCACAAAUGCUAUGCUUCUCCAGCUCUGGACCAUCCAGGGUGACUCAUUGCAGAGCCUCAUGGCCUGCGCAGUCCCUACGUGUUCUCUCCAUGGCUUCAUUUCAGGAGAGAGUCCACAGCUCUUCACACCAAUCGUUUUAACUUACUUCUUGGGAGAUUGCAGAUGCUGCUUUCAGGCUCCUGUGUGAUAUAUGGCCUCAAUCUGACCCCAUCUAAGACUACCAGAAAAGCAUUUGGGAGAAAUGUCUUGCUCCGCUCACUGCACCACUGGCUUCCUAUGAAAUGCUAUAUCGAUAGCUCUACCUCUCCCCUUUGCCUGUUUAGGUGGUAUGAACUUGCAGAAUCUACUUGGACUGCCAGGGCUACAAGCAGCACGCUCUCCAUCUGGCUUCAGAGCUAAGACAAAGCUUCACUACUGGACCAACAGAGAUAUAUUUGGGUGAAGGAAAGAGCACAAAGUAUGCAAGAGGAUCCUGGCUACCUCAAGCUCCUCAGGCGCACAAGGCUGAGAGAAAGGUCCCUAGGCCCCCACUGGGAGAUGCCUUUCACUCUCCUUACAGCACAGUCAGAGCAACCAAGAUACUUCUGCGGAAGCCUCAGUGGAGUCAGU